AAAUGCUCUCACUAGCUUGCUUCAGUGUCCUUUUUAUUUUAUUUCAUUUUUUAACUUUAAUUUUGUUCUCAUUUGAAGCUCAUUGAUAUUUUUGUUACCUGCUUAUGUGUUGAUGUUCUAUCCUUCAUCUUGAUUUUUGGGUUUUCUUUUGUUUUGAGAUGUGAUAAUUUCGUUUUCCAUUUCGAGCUUUAGCUGGUUUUAUGGUCUUAAUUUGCAGUUGCAUGACCACCUAUAACAAAAUUACAGUUGCAUGACCACCUAUAACAAAAUUGCAGUUGCAUGACCACAUUCAAUACUCCGAGAGCAGAUUUAACUUAUUAAUUAAUGUUUAACUGAACCGUUCAGACAUCAGGAACUGGAUCCGCAACAUAGAGCAACACGCUUCUGAUAAUGUCAACAAGAUUU
rnacentral:lncRNA from 1 species